rnacentral:tRNA from 1 species
CUUUGAGAAGCUUAUAUACAGCCACGGUCUUGUAAACCGCACAAGAGGACUUUCCUCCCAAAGCCU